rnacentral:rRNA from 1 species
GACAGAGGGUGCAAACGUUGUUCGGAAUUACUGGGCGUAAAGCGAGUGUAGGCGGUCUGAAAAGUCGGAUGUGAAAGCCCCGGGCUCAACCCGGGAAGUGCAUUCGAAACUGCCAGGCUAGAGUGUCGGAGAGGUUGGUGGAAUUCUCGGUGUAGAGGUGAAAUUCGUAGAUAUCGAGAGGAACACCGGUGGCGAAGGCGGCCAACUGGACGAACACUGACGCUGAGCCGCGAAAGCCAGGGGAGCGAACGGG